UAAGAAACCCAGAUGUCCAGUGGAGC
rnacentral:piRNA from 1 species